rnacentral:pre_miRNA from 1 species
AAAAAGACAAACCAUGGGUUUCCGUGUCCAAUUUUGACUGUCCGUCUUAUAUGAAAUUUUUUUAUAAUUCAUAUUUUCAUUGUUGUUAGAUGAUAAAACAUGAUUAACAUUUUAUGUGUGACUUUUCUUUUUAAUUUUUUUUAAAUAAAACGGACAGUCAAAUAUUGGACACGGAAACU